rfam:Tncultured Faecalibacterium sp. TS29_contig14193, whole genome shotgun sequence.
CCGGAUGCCCUGGUAGGGCCGCACCGGACAAAGCGGCCCUACCCCACCGCCCA